rnacentral:rRNA from 1 species
GUACACGCUGUGACUAGCAUAUCAAUAAGCGGAGGAAAAGAAACUAACAAGGAUUCCCCUAGUAACGGCGAGUGAAGCGGGAAGAGCUCAAAUUUGAAAUCUUGAAAGGGUUCACCUUUCACGAAUUGUAGUUUAAAGAAGUGUUUUCUGUUACGAUUUGGUAAUAAGUUCUUUGGAAUAGGACAUCAUAGAGGGUGAGAAUCCCGUCUAUGAUUGCGAUUUGUAGCUUUGUGAUACACUUUCAAAGAGUCGGGUUGUUUGGGAAUGCAGCCCAAAACGGGAGGUAAAUUUCUUCUAAGGCUAAAUAUUGGCGAGAGACCGAUAGCGAACAAGUACCGUGAGGGAAAGAUGAAAAGAACUUUGAAAAGAGAGUUAAAUAGUACGUGAAAUUGUCAAAAGGGAAGCGUUUAACACCAGUGUUGUUUUCUGAAAAUCAACCUCUGUUAGCUUUAUGCAUGUUUGUUUAGACCUAAUCAGCUAUCUUGCAUGUUCUAUUGUUUGCAGUGGUGCACUUUUCAGUUUACAGGUCAACAUCAGUUUUUUUUACCGUAAAAAAGUUAAAGAAAGGUAGCUCAUGGCUCCGGUCGUGAGUGUUAUAGUCUUUUUCCUAUGCGGUAGGAGAGACUGAGGUCUGCAGUGUAGGCUAUUUGGCUAGAUACUCAGGUGCUAUGUGAUACCAUUUCAUAAACAACUUGUUGAUUAUGUUUUGUCUAUUGCAUACUCGCUUGUACUAUCAUACCUACGCUUAGGAUGUUGACGCAUGAGAUAUACGC